UUUUGUUUCAUCUAAAAAGAGACGAGUUUAUUGCUUAGUAAGUAAGUGAGUGCUCAAGUUUAUUAAGAUGUAGAAAAGGAAAGAUAACUUUUGUGAAAACAUACGUGGCUGCACGAUGAAUAGCACAGCUAUUAAAGUUUCAAAAACGUGGUGGUAGUGUUCGUGUAAACUCUGGUGUCGUGGCUCUCCACACUCUCCAUUCCAUGCUGUUUGGCGGAUUGGAGACCUCUGAACCAGCCAUCAUUACAACACAAUAUGCAAGUUUUGCUUCUACUGGUAUUGACCUGCCAUCAGCAACAAUCUCUUCAGUCAUUGCUUGGAUAAACAGCAUCCAGACAUUCAGUUUGAUUGGAAAAACUCUGUCCUCGUGUACAUCCAUGUGAAUGUGGAGGUCGGCGGCGGCUCUCUCUCUAUCUAGCUCGAACCCCAUAAUCGAUUCUAGAGCUCUCUCUCUCUCUCGCGGGCUCGCUGAUGCGCUCGCAUCUAUUGGUUUCUUUUCAUCUCACACAAUGUCUAGUACGGUGAAGUAGAGUGUAUAUGCACAAGAUAUCGACCUAUAUACGCAUAAGAUGAAAAGAUGGCGACUUUUUUCAAAUUCAUCUCGAGUAGAGAGAAAGAGAGAGAAUUCUGGCAUAGCUCUUGUUGUCGUCUAGUCGUCAUACAGAUUCUUCAGACUAUAUCUCAUCUCUCCACCCUCCCUCUCUGUGUGUGUAUACAUUUUUCAAUUUGAAUCAACUAUAUGGAGACCUGAUCAUCGGGUAGGUUUUCUCUCAAAAAAAAGUCCAACUCGUCGUCUCUUUUCGGUUGAAUUCCUCUCGGUCUCUCCCUUCAUCCGUUUGUGCUCUGCUAUGUACACCGCUUCUCCGAUCGUGUAGUAUCAACGGGUCGAAC